rnacentral:rRNA from 1 species
UGCGGUUAAAAAGCUCGUAGUUGGAUCUCGGCAAGUAGAGGGCGGUAUGCUUCGUAGCAUUACUGCCCUAUUACUUGUAGUUUUGCCAGAGGUUCCUGGGUGCUCUUAAUCGAGUGUCUAGGGAUGCUGGCAGGUUUACUUUGAAAAAAUUAGAGUGCUCAAAGCAGGCUAUUACGCUUGAAUAUUCGUGCAUGGAAUAAUAGAAUAGGAAGUUGUUUCUAUUUUGUUGGUUUUCGGAAAUCGACUUAAUGAUUAAUAGGGACAGUCGGGGGCAUUUGUAUUCAAACGACAGAGGUGAAACUCUUGGACCGUUUGAAGACAAACUACUGCGAAAGCAUUUGCCGAGAAUGUUUUCAUUAAUCAAGAACGAAAGUUAGAGGUUCGAAGGCGAUUAGAUACCGCCCUAGUUCUAACCAUAAACGAUGCCAGCUAGCGAUCUGAGGACGUUUUUUUUGUAGACUCCUCAGGAAGCUUCCGGGAAACCAAAGCGUGUGGGUUCCGGGGGAAGUAUGGUUGCAAAGCUGAAACUUAAAGGAAUUGACGGAAGGGCACCACCAGGAGUGGAGCCUGCGGCUUAAUUUGACUCAACACGGGAAAUCUCACCAGGCCCGGACACUGGAAGGAUUGACAGAUUGAGAGCUCUUUCUCGAU